rnacentral:rRNA from 1 species
UGGUGGAGUGAUUUGUCUGCUUAAUUGCGAUAACGAACGAGACCUUAACCUGCUAAAUAGCCCGGCUCGCUUUGGCGGGUUGCCGGCUUCUUAGAGGGACUAUCGGCUCAAGCCGAUGGAAGUUUGAGGCAAUAACA